GGACGAUCUGGCAUCCUGACGAAGCCUGUUGUAUACAGGCGAAACGCGUAGAUCGCCGAGCCACGGACUGGGAUAUACGCUUCAAAACGCUGACCACCGUCGCUCAGUUCAUUUGUCUGCCGGCAGACACCCGCUUCCAACCUCCAAUAAGAGACACCAUCAGCGGCCUUCCAGCAGGUCACUAAUAGCGUGUCUAAAAAGUCACAAAGACCUUCUGGCCCUGCCUCCACUCUGACUGAAGCAGAGGAUGCUGCUGAUGCUGGACCGUCCACACACGAAUUGCCCCUGCGGAAGCGCAGUCUGGGUGUGUCUUCCAGAGCACCACAAGAGCCUCCACCACGACGACGCAUAUCCCAGGUCUCAGCCAUGCCCCCACAGCAACUGCUGGACAAUCCUCCACCCAUGUCACCGCAUUCCCCUCAGCUGCCUGGUGAUUUGAUUUGCACAUUCAUACAACACAUAUAUUUACACACACACUUUACACUACUGAAAACAGUGCUAAAUAUGCUGUACUAUUGUUGGCCUACUUAAGAUGCCAUGUUGCCCUUAACAACCAAUCACAGUAAACUUGACAAUUAUGUUGCACCUUCAAGAAUGGAACACAUGAAAUGUGAAUAAAUGAGAUGUCUUAAAGUAUAUCCCACAUUUAGGGGAAAUGCAAGCUUACUUCAAAUUCUGCAAUGUUUUCAAACUGAUUUAUGAAGCAAAUUAGUGCAUAACUUAAGUGGAAAACAGUUCCUCGCAAACUAAAUGGACACUAUUGCCUCAAAACACUUAGGACAACAAAUGUGAGGUGCAUAUGUGUAAAAACGAAGAGACAAUAUAUGUGACCAAUAUAGGCUUAGCAACACACACUAAAAAAAAAAAAAAUAUUAGCACUAAUAAAACAAAACGCUCUGGCAAAAAAAAAAAAUAUAUAUACUUACACACAACUGCUUUCUAUUUUCAGCAGACACAAAUCUUCAGGCAAGUCAGCCAGGGCAACUGCAGGAAACAUAUACCCGCCUCAAUCUCACUGCUAUACCACUGCCAGACCCAACAACCACUCAGUUUGCAACUCCGCCCCCUCACCAGACACCUGAGCAGGACAGAAGCCCUACCACACCUGUAGCACAGUCACAAGACCAGGCAUUUUGGGACAGCUGGUCCACCCAGUAAGCCAAUAAUUUAGAUUUUUUUGCGUAAGCAAACACAAUAUAUUUCCAGUCUUGCCCAUCACGUCCCACGCCUCUGCAGAAGCAACAGCAGACAAACUAAUGAGCUCACCCAAAUGGCAAACACAUUAGAAUUAAUAAGGGCAGACAAUAAUCGCAUGAUCGAUACAUUCCAAAGAGUCAUGGAUGACAAUCAAAGGCUCCAUCAAAUCUACUUGCAGAUAUUGACUGCAACCCAAACCACACAAGACACCAUGGUCAGAAUCAUGGAGAGCCACACGUCUGCAACUAGAGACUUAAAUUUGACUCUGACUACACUUAUACCCCUUUUCCACUAGCUUUUUAAACAUGGGUAAAUGCGCGGGGGCGCGCAUUUACCCGUGUUUUUUUCCUAGUGGAAAAGGGUCCCCCUGCAAAUUCCCGGAUCAAGUGAUCCGGGAAUCCUACCCGGGUAGCUAGCCGGGUUGAACCCGUGUUCAACCCAGCUAGCUGUCUAGUGUGAACGGGAGCCGUGUCGUUCAGUG